AUUCGUUUUCAGAAGAAGUACGUGCAGGACUUUCAAGGAAGGAUCGAGGAAAAGAUGGAAAAUCGGGCACGAGAAAAAACGAUUUGUAUUCAUGAAAUAGCUCCUCUUCAGAAUAGAAUUAUCCGGGAGCUCAGGACUAUAUAUGGAUCUGAGAAAAUUCCAUAUGAUAUUCACAUCGAUGAUAACGGUGACAAAUUUGGGGUUGUAGAAAAACUAGCGUCACUUCUUGAAAAAUUGAAG